CCAAUCCCAGCCUCGAUAAGGCGGUCUUUGAAGUAGUGUGCAUUCCGCAAGCAUUUCUGCACUUCUUUCUGAAAGCCUCUGUAUCCUUUCCGGUUCAAGGUAUACCAAAGGAAUAUGGGAGCAUGGCCAUUUCGACUACCCAUGAUAGUCGCAUCCCUAGAAGCAAGGUAUUCCACAUUCCUGGAAAGAGCAUUAAUAUGCUCCAAUCUUGUUAUCUGCACACCACAAGGCAUUGGGCACCCCACAAAUUUGUGGCCAGAAACACUG
rnacentral:lncRNA from 1 species